UACGAAGGGUGGAAGCGUUCAUCGGAAUUACUGGGCGUAAAGCGUGCGUAGACGGCCUUUUAAGUCUGCUGUGAAAGCCCUGGGCUCAACCUGGGAACUGCAGUGGAUACUGUGAGGCUGGAGUGCGGUAGAGGAUGGUGGAAUUCCCGGUGUAGCGGUGAAAUGCGUAGAGAUCGGGAGGAACAUCAGUGGCGAAGGCGGCCAUCUGGGCCAGCACUGACGUUGAGGCACGAAAGCGUGGGGAGCAAACAGG
rnacentral:rRNA from 1 species